GACGAACGCUGGCGGCGUGCCUAAUACAUGCAAGUUGAGCGCUGAAGGUUGGUACUUGUACCAACUGGAUGAGCAGCGAACGGGUGAGUAACGCGUGGGGAAUCUGCCUUUGAGCGGGGGACAACAUUUGGAAACGAAUGCUAAUACCGCAUAAAAACUUUAAACACAAGUUUUAAGUUUGAAAGAUGCAAUUGCAUCACUCAAAGAUGAUCCCGCGUUGUAUUAGCUAGUUGGUGAGGUAAAGGCUCACCAAGGCGAUGAUACAUAGCAGACCUGAGAGGGUGGUCGGCCACAUUGGGAGUGAGACACGGCCCAAACGCAUACGGGAGGCAGCAAGAGGGAAUCUUCGGCAAUGGACGAAAGUCUGACCGAGCAACGCCGCGGGAGUGAAGAAGGUUUUCGGAUCGUAAAACUCUGUUGGUAGAGAAGAACGUUGGUGAGAGUGGAAAGCUCAUCAAGUGACGGUAACUACCCAGAAAGGGACGGCUAACUACGUG
rnacentral:rRNA from 1 species